GCGGGUGUAGUUGAUCGGCUCAACGCCACCUUCCCAAGGUGGAAAGGGCGGUUCGAUUCCGCUCACCCGCU
rnacentral:tRNA from 1 species